GCGUUUUCAAACAGCGGGACUAACGGACGGACGACUUCAGAGCUACUUCGACUUCCAGUGGCAAUUUUACAAAAUAUAUCCCUCAUGGAGUCUGACCGGGACUGGUAUCUCCCGACAUUAUCUGAAGCUUAGGUCCACUAAGAUGUCCCGUUGAUUGAAGCUGACAUGGAGUCACAGUGACAUCCUUAAAAACUUUUGUCAUGUAUAAUACAUCUCUGCAUCUUAAAAUAUUUCUCUGCAUCUUUAAAUAUUUUUUUUUAUUAUUUUUUGUCUAUGUUUUAGAUUUAAGUGUUUAAGCUGUUUUCAUGAAAAAAUAUUGCCAUGUCUACCUUUUUUUAUGAAUGUUCUAAAUAUUUUGAAUAAUUUCAAUCCAUUUAAAAAUCUUAAAGUUCUUGAUUUUGUUUUGUUUUGAUUGUUUUUCAUGUUUUAUAUUGAUGUGAACUGGAAAUACUGU